rnacentral:rRNA from 1 species
CCUACGGGAGGCAGCAGUAAGGAAUCUUCCACAAUGGACGAAAGUCUGAUGGAGCAACGCCGCGUGCAGGAUGAAGGCUUUCGGGUCGUAAACUGCUUUUAUAUGGGAAGAUUAUGACGGUACCAUAUGAAUAAGGACCGGCUAACUACGUGCCAGCAGCCGCGGUAAUACGUAGGGUCCAAGCGAUAUCCGGAAUUACUGGGCGUAAAGCGUGUGUAGGUGGAUUAAUAAGUGUGAUGCGAAAUCCGGCGGCUCAACCGUUUGGACUGUGUCGCAUACUGUUAGUCUAGAGGACGGCAGAGGUAAGUGGAAUUACGGGUGUAGCAGUGAAAUGCGUAGAUAUCCGUAGGAACACCAAUGGCGAAGGCAGCUUACUGGGCCACACCUGACACUGAGACACGAAAGCGUGGGGAGCGAACAGGAUUAGAUACCCUGGUAGUCCACGCCGUAAACGAUGCAUACUAUUAGUAUGGGGUAUCGACCCCCUGUGCUGAGAAGCUAACGCGAUAAGUAUGCCGCCUGGGGAGUACGAGCGCAAGCUUAAAACUUAAAGGAAUUGACGGCNGAGAGNGCGAGACGACGACGAGGGAGAGG